GCCAGGCGUGGUGGCUCACGCCUGUAAUCCCAGCACUUUGGGAGGCCGAGGCGGGUGGAUCACCUGAGGUCAGGAGUUCAAGACCAGCCUGGCCAACAUGGUGAAACCCUGUCUCUA
rfam:Gorilla gorilla gorilla genomic chromosome, chr8, whole genome shotgun sequence